GCACGGAACAUGCAGUCCAUGGUUUGGGAGUGUGAGGUAAUAUACUAGUACUGCAACUUUUCCCUCACAGCUGUGUGAGCAUGUUUAAAUUUAUGACUGAUUCAUUUAAAAUUUUGAAUAUUUAAUUUUAUGUUGUUAUUUUAUACUGCAUUAUCAUUCUACUUCAUUUGGUAGAAUCUUUAUAAUUUGUUAUUUUGAAUCAUGGAGUAUAUCUUCUUAGUUAAUUAUUGAAAUCUAGGCAGUUUGGUGUAGCGUCCGGGCGGGAGUCCGACACGGACGAAAUGUAAAAUGACCCCACGUGCAGUGUAUUUAUAAAUACACAGUGCAAACGGUAAAGUACUGUAUAGAAGUGAAACGAUAAACACGGGACUAGGAGACAGUGUAUUUUCACAAAGGUGAAAAGUGAAACUCGAAUCUGUGAGUAGGAUUCGAUCACGGAGCUCUGACGAAAUACCGGACUGGAACACGGGACUGGGACUGGAGAACAAUUGGCAGGAGUAGGCAGGAGUAGACAGGAUGGGCACUCGGACCGGAACACAAACAAACGGAACACAACUUGGGAAACAGGGGCAGUAGUGAGCAUCCUGUUUAGAGGCACUGCCGUCGAGCUCAAAGGACCCAGGUUUAAAACUUACCUCCUGCUGCAGUACUCUAGAGCAUGGAAGCAAAUUUGAUCCUUGUGGUGUCUGAUCUCUCGAGGUGGUCAUGUGAAGAAACAAAGGUGAGAUCUGUCCGUAGCUGUUUAAAGCUCGUCUCAUGCUAAACCUUUACUGGUAAUUCAAUAUUGUUUUAAGUCUCUCUUCUUCUGCCCCCUGUUUCACAUUCACCAACACACACAUAAACGCACACAAAAAACUCAUUUAGAUGUAUUGAACACAGAAAAAAAGUUAAAAGUUAAAAAACCUCCAGUUGUGGGUUUAUCAAUGUAGACAUUGGUAUAAACACCCAUGCGAUACAGCGACAGCACAAAGGUCACUGGCAGUGAAAUGUUGAAUUACCAAUAAAAAUUUCUA
rnacentral:lncRNA from 1 species